UAGGGAAUCUUCCGCAAUGGACGAAAGUCUGACGGAGCAACGCCGCGUGAGUGAUGAAGGUUUUCGGAUCGUAAAGCUCUGUUGUUAGGGAAGAACAAGUGCAAGAGUAACUGCUUGCACCUUGACGGUACCUAACCAGAAAGCCACGGCUAACUACGUGCCAGCAGCCGCGGUAAUACGUAGGUGGCAAGCGUUGUCCGGAAUUAUUGGGCGUAAAGGGCUCGCAGGCGGUUUCUUAAGUCUGAUGUGAAAGCCCCCGGCUCAACCGGGGAGGGUCAUUGGAAACUGGGGAACUUGAGUGCAGAAGAGGAGAGUGGAAUUCCACGUGUAGCGGUGAAAUGCGUAGAGAUGUGGAGGAACACCAGUGGCGAAGGCGACUCUCUGGUCUGUAACUGACGCUGAGGCGCGAAAGCGUGGGGAGCGAACA
rnacentral:rRNA from 1 species